AACGAACGCUGGCGGCAUGCCUAACACAUGCAAGUCGAACGAGACCUUCGGGUCUAGUGGCGCACGGGUGCGUAACGCGUGGGAACCUGCCCUUAGGUUCGGAAUAACUCCCCGAAAGGGGUGCUAAUACCGGAUAAUGUCUUCGGACCAAAGAUUUAUCGCCUUUGGAUGGGCCCGCGUUGGAUUAGCUAGUUGGUAGGGUAAAAGCCUACCAAGGCGACGAUCCAUAGCUGGUCUGAGAGGAUGAUCAGCCACACUGGGACUGAGACACGGCCCAGACUCCUACGGGAGGCAGCAGUGGGGAAUAUUGGACAAUGGGCGAAAGCCUGACCCAGCAAUGCCGCGUGAGUGAUGAAGGCCUUAGGGUUGUAAAGCUCUUUUAACCGGGAUGAUAAUGACAGUACCGGGAGAAUAAGCGCCGGCUAACUCCGUG
rnacentral:rRNA from 1 species